UACGAAGGGUGCAAGCGUUACUCGGAAUUACUGGGCGUAAAGCGUGCGUAGGUGGUUUGUUAAGUCUGAUGUGAAAGCCCUGGGCUCAACCUGGGAAUUGCAUUGGAUACUGGCAGGCUAGAGUGCGGUAGAGGAUGGCGGAAUUCCCGGUGUAGCAGUGAAAUGCGUAGAGAUCGGGGAGGAACAUCUGUGGCGAAGGCGGCCAUCUGGACCAGCACUGACACUGAGGCACGAAGGCGUGGGGAGCAAACAGG
rnacentral:rRNA from 1 species